UCCACGAUCUUAACAGCUCUGCUGUUGGCCAGGCAUUUGUUUUGCUUUCUAACCCUACUAAACUCUGCUCAGGAAGUAGCCAGCUCCACUGGGACCCAUAGUUCUGCUUCCUUCCCAUUUAACUGGACUGUUUCCUAGGAGGCCCCCCUAACUGGCACUGUCAGAGGAGAGCCCCUUGUGGACAGUGCUUCUGUUGUUGCCUGAAAUGGCCUCUGGAGCUGAGUCGGCAAAAGUCUUUUCCAGGAAAGACUUUGGAGCUGGGCUUCGGAAGACAGGAGACUGUAAUGUGUAUCCAGAUGAUGAAACCUAGUUUGAGGUCUGGAGGUUAGCUCAGUGGUAGAGCCCUUGCCUGGCAUGGAUAAGGCUGUGUGCUCGAUCAUUGGGAACUCGGGAAAGGGAUGGGCACUAGUUUGAACCUCAUCAGACAUCCAUCCCUUUGGCUGUUGGCCGUGGUGAAAGUGAGAUCUGCAAUCUGAUAGCUUAUCUUUCUUUGCUGCUGCUGCAUUGUUAUGAUCUGGCCCCUCUGUUUAAGGAUUCUGUUUCAGAGAGUUUCUUAAGUAACUCCAGCAUUAUAAAAUAGUAAUGUAAACAGUGUGAAGUUUCUCAUUCUACCCAGGAGUUGGAUUUUCUUUGGAGAUGGACUGAACAGUUUCAAGGUUUCCACUGGGAUCAGUUGGUUUCAAGAAUUAAAACCUGGAGUGACCCUAGGAAUCUUGAGCUGAAUGAGUCCCUCUCAUGCCCCCCUAUUUAGAAGUCUCCAGUUUGUUUCCCAUGUCUCUCUUACAUUGUUCUGCUGUAAAGUCUCAAGAUCAAGGUCAUUCAAACAGAGGACAGCCAGAAUCACUAAAAUCUUCAACUAGAUCUUCUCCCCUGGCUACACCAUCUCCACUGUCUCUUGGUGUUUAUGUGUGCCCCGGAAGCUAGUCUGGAAGUGUCCUUAUUUUCUAAGCUAGGGAAACAGAACUGGGUAAGUGGCUGUUUACCUUAUGAAAUGGUAUACAUUCCAGCUCACCCCAGAAGAUGUACUCUAAACAGGGCAUGUCUGUGGCUGUAUUCUGUUGUGCAAGGAAGAUCACAAACACUGAAGAGUUCACCAAGAUAGUCAGUCCUGAUUUGUGUGUGAAUAGAAUGCUCACUCUCCCACUCCCACCCCGUGUUGGUUUUUUGUUAUUGUUGUUGGGGUUUGUUGUUAUUUUGAGAUAGUCUCACUCUGUAACCCAGGCUGGACUCAAAGUCAUGGCAGUCCUCCUGCCUUGGCCUCCUGAGGCCAUGUGCUACCGUGCCUGGCCUCUUAAUUGGAUCUGUUUAGCAAAGAUUCAUAUCUCCGUGCCUCAUCUCCAGAGCAGAUUCCAUUAGGCAGAUAUCUGGCUAGGGACACCCAGGUCAUAACUUGGUGAUUUUUUGCAAAGUCUUGCUCUCUACAGAGCUUCCUCUGGCUGGUACUUACACACUACACUAUGCCACACCAUAGAGAAGAGAUCUGCUCAAAAAAAAAAAAAAGCCAUGUGGGUUUCUAAGUUAAGUUGCACCUGGCUGCCCAUUGUGAGGUAUCUGCCUGUGAGUUGCAGAUGACAUCUGUUCCCUUUUCUCUGGAGACCUCUUUGUCAUCAACCAUUAAGAAAAUAGCCAGAAAUAGGGAUAUAAGUCAGUGAUAGGACACUUGAUUAGCAUGUGCCAGGCCCUGGGGCAAAUCCCUAGUACAGCAGGCUUGUGGAGAGUUGGAAAGAAAGAAAGAAGGUAGCCCAGGACUCCUAUGUAGGCUCUAUCCUAAUGUUAUAACCAAAUCAUUGUUCCCUCUAACCUUGGAAUAAGAGCAAAAUCCUUAUUCCAACUCUUCCUCUAACAAGCACUCUAGCUUCCAGGAGACAAGGAAAAGAAGGCUGGUUGUCUCUGGUUAUGUGACCCUGGACAGAGGGGAAAUAUACCAUUUAUCUACAAUGAAUUUGUGCUACUUCAAGGUCUUCUUGCUGUCUCAGUGGAAAUAUUGUUUCCUUUUUCUUGUUAAACAAAAUGCCUCUAAUCUACCUUCCCUCUGCCCUCCUCCCUCCUCAUGUUUCCCUCCUGGGAGAGCAAGGCUCCCCAUAGCCACACACUCCUGCAAAGCUUUUGUUGCUGCUUGGCUUUUCUCUGAACAGAUCUGAAAUUGCUGCUCCUGUGGUUUCCUCAGAAUUAACUUUGUCAUGGUUUAAAAAAAUCAGAAUGCAUUGUUGCAUUAAGCUUUUUUAAUAAAGGAGAAUUAUGGAAAGAAAAUAGGUAACACCAGCAAAUUAUAUAUUGACAUUGACAAGUCUAAACAUAUAUAUAUAUACAUAUCUAUGUAAAACACAUAUCUAUACCAAUAAUCAUCUAGUUCUUACUGUCAUCUUACUGAAAGGAACGAAGCCUCUAAGGAUCACCAGUUCUGAGAAGCUCUUGGAAAUCUUUAUGUCUAAGUGAUUGUAUUAGAUCAGCAAUAAUGACUAUGUAAUCUCGAAAAAUAAAGUAUUCUUAAAACUGA
rnacentral:lncRNA from 1 species